rnacentral:misc_RNA from 1 species
GUGGGACAUGAAAACCCGGGAAUUUUGUCCAUUCGGCUCUUUCCUUUAAUAAGUUAAAUAAAAAUGUGACACUUUCACGACGAAAUACCGGGAAUUUUUGAUAUUAUAGUCCCAAAACCCAGGCAAUUAAGCCAAUGAUCGACUGUCCCUGCCCAUUCUAAUGGGGCAUUCUAUUCCUUCAAGUCCCACAGCUUCAUGUGCAGCUUCUUAAGAACCCUCUCCCUCAC